rnacentral:rRNA from 1 species
CGCGUAGGUGGUUCGUUAAGUUGGAUGUGAAAGCCCCGGCCUCAACCUGGGAACUGCAUUCAAAACUGUACGAGCUAGAGUAUCGGUAGAGGGUGGUGGAAUUUCCUGUGUAGCGGUGAAAUGCGUAGAUAUAGGAAGGAACACCAGUGGCGAAGGCGACCACCUGGACUGAUACUGACACUGAGGUGCGAAAGCGUGGGGAGCACACAGGAUUAGAUACCCUGGU